UGAGAAGUUGAUCUAUGCGUGUUCU
rnacentral:piRNA from 1 species